rnacentral:rRNA from 1 species
UAGGGAAUCUUCCGCAAUGGACGCAAGUCUGACGGAGCAACGCCGCGUGAGUGAAGAAGGAUUUCGGUUCGUAAAACUCUGUUGUUAGAGAAGAACAGCGCAUAGAGUAACUGUUAUGCGUGUGACGGUAUCUAACCAGAAAGCCACGGCUAACUACGUGCCAGCAGCCGCGGUAAUACGUAGGUGGCAAGCGUUGUCCGGAUUUAUUGGGCGUAAAGCGAGCGCAGGCGGUCAAUUAAGUCUGAUGUGAAAGCCCCCGGCUCAACCGGGGAGGGUUAGUAGAAACUGGUUGAAUUGAGUGCAGAAGAGGAGAGUGGAAUUCCAUGUGUAGCGGUGAAAUGCGUAGAGAUAUGGAGGAACACCAGUGGCGAAGGCGACUCUCUGGUCUGUAACUGACGCUGAGGCUCGAAAGCGUGGGUAGCAAACAGG